ensembl:snRNA U6 U6 spliceosomal RNA
GAUGAUCCUGCGUCAACAAAGUUCCAAAAUGGGCACUAUACAGAGGUGAGCAUGGCCACUAUAUAAGGAUGACACAGAAAUUGGUGGAAUGUUUCAUAAAAAA